AAUAGGAAUGUGGAGGUGGGAGGGGAAAAUCAGCCGGGCUCCGACUACUCGGCUGCCUCGGUGUAGCAGCAAGGAAAAUAAGCUGAGGACAGAGAAAUAA
rnacentral:lncRNA from 1 species